CCUACGGGAGGCAGCAGUGGGGAAUUUUGGACAAUGGGCGAAAGCCUGAUCCAGCCAUUCCGCGUGCAGGAUGAAGGCCCUCGGGUUGUAAACUGCUUUUGUACAGAACGAAAAAGACUCCGGCUAAUACCUGGAGUCCAUGACGGUACUGUAAGAAUAAGCACCGGCUAACUACGUGC
rnacentral:rRNA from 1 species